rnacentral:rRNA from 1 species
GAUGAACGCUGGCGGCGUGCCUAAUACAUGCAAGUCGAGCGAACAGACGAGGAGCUUGCUCCUCUGACGUUAGCGGCGGACGGGUGAGUAACACGUGGAUAACCUACCUAUAAGACUGGGAUAACUUCGGGAAACCGGAGCUAAUACCGGAUAAUAUAUUGAACCGCAUGGUUCAAUAGUGAAAGACGGUUUUGCUGUCACUUAUAGAGGGAUCCGCGCCGCAUUAGCUAGUUGUUAAGGUAACGGCUUACCAAGGCAACGAUGCGUAGCCGACCUGAGAGGGUGAUCGGCCACACUGGAACUGAGACACGGUCCAGACUCCUACGGGAGGCAGCAGUAGGGAAUCUUCCGCAAUGGGGGGAAGCCUGACGGAGCAACGCCGCGUGAGUGAUGAAGGUCUUCGGAUCGUAAAACUCUGUUAUUCGGGAAGAACAAAUGUGUAAGUAACCAUGGACGGCUUGACGGUACCUAAUCAGAAAGCCACGGCUAACUACGUG